UACGUAGGGUGCAGGCGUUAAUCGGAAUUACUGGGCGUAAAGCGUGCGCAGGCAGUUUUGUAAGCCAGAUGUGAAAUCCCCGGGCUCAACCUGGGAAUGGCAUUUGGGACUGCAAGGCUGGAGUGCGGCAGAGGAGACUGGAAUUCCUGGUGUAGCAGUGAAAUGCGUAGAUAUCAGGAGGAAUACCGAUGGCGAAGGCAGGUCUCUGGGCUGACACUGACGCUCAUGCACGAAAGCGUGGGGAGCAAACAGG
rnacentral:rRNA from 1 species